GACGAACGCUGGCGGCGUGCCUAAUACAUGCAAGUAGAACGCUGAAGAGAGGAGCUUGCUCUUCUUGGAUGAGUUGCGAACGGGUGAGUAACGCGUAGGUAACCUGCCUUGUAGCGGGGGAUAACUAUUGGAAACGAUAGCUAAUACCGCAUAACAAUGGAUGACACAUGUCAUUUAUUUGAAAGGGGCAAUUGCUCCACUACAAGAUGGACCUGCGUUGUAUUAGCUAGUAGGUGAGGUAAUGGCUCACCUAGGCGACGAUACAUAGCCGACCUGGUAGGGUGAUCGGCCACACUGGGAAUGAGACACGGCCCAGACUCCUACGUGUGGCAGCAGUAGGGAAUCUUGGGCAAUGGGGGCAACACUGACCGAGCAACGCCGCGUGAGUGAAGAAGGGUUUCGGAUCGUAAAGCUCUGUUGUAAGUCAAGAACGGGUGUGAGAGUGGAAAGUUCACACUGUGACGGUAGCUUACCAGAAAGGGACGGCUAACUACGUG
rnacentral:rRNA from 1 species